AUGGUUCAGAGCACAGGGCCUAGCAAUGCAGAAUAUCUUAAGUCUCUUGUGCUUGGGAAUGGUGAAGAGAGGCUGCGAAAGGAAGAAAGUAAGCUGCAAGAUAUUCAGAGGAAAUGGGCCGCGUCGAACCGAUGGGCUGUUGCUGCCCAGUUUGCGCUUGCUGCUAGCCUCGCAUCAUCCCACAGCGACCUUCUCUCAUUGGAGGUUGCUGAGGGAAACAACAUCCUCAGGAAAACAAAGGACGCAGUAAUCACCCUGCAGGGCGUCCUUGAAGGGAAGCACAACACUGAAAUCGAGGAGUCGCUCACAGAGUAUCAGGUUCCAUCUGAUAGGUGGUGGUCGUCACUUUACAAAGUCAUCGAAGGCCUCGCCACGAUGAGCAAACUGGGGCGCAACCGUCUACGGCAACCUGGUUACAGUUUUGAAAACCACGGGUCUAUUGACUGGGAUCAAAUUUAG
rnacentral:rRNA from 1 species